GGGCGUGUAGCUCAGUGGUAGAGCUCUGGUUUUACACACCAGCGGUCGGGGGUUCGAUACCCUCCGCGCCCACCG
rnacentral:tRNA from 2 species